rnacentral:rRNA from 1 species
UACGUAGGGACCAAGCGUUGUCCGGAAUCACUGGGCGUAAAGCGCACGUAGGCGGAUCCUUAAGUCGGGGGUGAAAUCCUGGAGCUCAACUCCAGAACUGCCUUCGAUACUGAGGAUCUCGAGUCCGGGAGAGGUGAGUGGAACUGCGAGUGUAGAGGUGAAAUUCGUAGAUAUUCGCAAGAACACCAGUGGCGAAGGCGGCUCACUGGCCCGGUACUGACGCUGAGGUGCGAAAGCGUGGGGAGCAAACAGG